GCUAGUUGGUAAGGUAACGGCUUACCAAGGCAACGAUGGGUAGGGGUCCUGAGAGGGAGAUCCCCCACACUGGUACUGAGACACGGACCAGAUUCCUACGGGAGGCAGCAGUGAGGAAUAUUGGUCAAUGGGCGCAAGCCUGAACCAGCCAUGCCGCGUGCAGGAUGACGGUCCUAUGGAUUGUAAACUGCUUUUGUACGGGAAGAAACACUCCUACGUGUAGGAGCUUGACGGUACCGUAAGAAUAAGGAUCGGCUAACUCCGUGCCAGCAGCCGCGGUAAUACGGAGGAUCCAAGCGUUAUCCGGAAUCAUUGGGUUUAAAGGGUCCGUAGGCGGUCUUGUAAGUCAGUGGUGAAAGCCCAUCGCUCAACGGUGGAACGGCCAUUGAUACUGCUGGACUUGAAUUACUGGGAAGCAACUAGAAUAUGUAGUGUAGCGGUGAAAUGCUUAGAGAUUACAUGGAAUACCAAUUGCGAAGGCAGGUUGCUACCGGUGGAUUGACGCUGAUGGACGAAAGCGUGGGUAGCGAACAGGAUUAGAUACCCUGGUAGUCCACGCCGUAAACGAUGGAUACUAGCUGUUGGGCGCAAGCUCAGUGGCUAAGCGAAAGUGAUAAGUAUCCCACCUGGGGAGUACGAACGCAAGUUUGAAACUCAAAGGAAUUGACGGGGGCCCGCACAAGCGGUGGAGCAUGUGGUUUAAUUCGAUGAUACGCGAGGAACCUUACCAAGGCUUAAAUGCAGACUGACCGAUUUGGAAACAGAUCUUUCGCAAGACAGUUUACAAGGUGCUGCAUGGUUGUCGUCAGCUCGUGCCGUGAGGUGUCAGGUUAAGUCCUAUAACGAGCGCAACCCCUGUUGUUAGUUGCCAGCGAGUCAUGUCGGGAACUCUAACAAGACUGCCAGUGCAAACUGUGAGGAAGGUGGGGAUGACGUCAAAUCAUCACGGCCCUUACGCCUUGGGCUACACACGUGCUACAAUGGCCGGUACAGAGAGCAGCCACCUCGCGAGGGGGAGCGAAUCUAUAAAGCCGGUCACAGUUAGGAUCGGAGUCUGCA
rnacentral:rRNA from 1 species